GAUGAACGCUGGCGGCGUGCCUAACACAUGCAAGUCGAGCGAAGCGCUUAAAUUAGAUUUCUUCGGAAUGACGAUUUUUGUGACUGAGCGGCGGACGGGUGAGUAACGCGUGGGUAACCUGCCUCAUACAGGGGAAUAACAGUUAGAAAUGACUGCUAAUACCGCAUAAGACCCCAGCUUCGCAUGAAGCGGUGGUAAAAACUCCGGUGGUAUGAGAUGGACCCGCGUCUGAUUAGCUAGUUGGUAAGGUAACGGCUUACCAAGGCGACGAUCAGUAGCCGACCUGAGAGGGUGACCGGCCACAUUGGGACUGAGACACGGCCCAGACUCCUACGGGAGGCAGCAGUGGGGAAUAUUGCACAAUGGGGGAAACCCUGAUGCAGCGACGCCGCGUGAAGGAUGAAGUAUUUCGGUAUGUAAACUUCUAUCAGCAGGGAAGAAAGUGACGGUACCUGACUAAGAAGCCCCGGCUAACUACGUG
rnacentral:rRNA from 1 species